GUUAAGGUGGCAGAGCCUGGUAAUUGCAAAAGACCUAAGCUCUUUGGUUCAGAGGUUCAACUCCUCUCCUUAACU
rnacentral:tRNA from 1 species